rnacentral:lncRNA from 1 species
GGUGGAUGCAAAUUCACUGUACAAAAAGGAAUUAAUUUACUAAGAUCCUCGCCAGUCGUGCUAUUUUUCUCAUCCUCUACCAGCAGUGAUGUUGUCAAGUUUCACUGGCCUUCCAGCCUCCUGUGGACCACAACAAACAAGCUCCAGCCUCAAGGCCAGCCCUGAGUUCUCUGUGUCCGGAGUGCUCUUCCUCAGAUAUCUACAAUGUUCAUUCACG